rnacentral:rRNA from 1 species
AACGAACGCUGGCGGCAGGCUUAACACAUGCAAGUCGAACGCCCCGCAAGGGGAGUGGCAGACGGGUGAGUAACGCGUGGGAAUCUACCCAGUUCUACGGAACAACACAGGGAAACUUGUGCUAAUACCGUAUACGCCCCAAGGGGGAAAGAUUUAUCGGAAUUGGAUGAGCCCGCGUUGGAUUAGCUAGUUGGUGAGGUAACGGCUCACCAAGGCGACGAUCCAUAGCUGGUCUGAGAGGAUGAUCAGCCACACUGGGACUGAGACACGGCCCAGACUCCUACGGGAGGCAGCAGUGGGGAAUAUUGGACAAUGGGCGAAAGCCUGAUCCAGCCAUGCCGCGUGAGUGAUGAAGGCCUUAGGGUUGUAAAGCUCUUUCAGUGGGGAAGAUAAUGACGGUACCCACAGAAGAAGCCCCGGCUAACUUCGUGCCAGCAGUCGCGGUAAAGUCGAUAUCG